CUACGGGGGGCUGCAGUGGGGAAUAUUGCACAAUGGGCGCAAGCCUGAUGCAGCCAUGCCGCGUGUAUGAAGAAGGCCUUCGGGUUGUAAAGUACUUUCAGCGGGGAGGAAGGGAGUAAAGUUAAUACCUUUGCUCAUUGACGUUACCCGCAGAAGAAGCACCGGCUAACUCCGUGCCAGCAGCCGCGGUAAUACGGAGGGUGCAAGCGUUAAUCGGAAUUACUGGGCGUAAAGCGCACGCAGGCGGUUUGUUAAGUCAGAUGUGAAAGCCCCGGGCUCAACCUGGGAACUGCAUCUGAUACUGGCAAGCUUGAGUCUCGUAGAGGGGGGUAGAAUUCCAGGUGUAGCGGUGAUAUGCGUAGAGAUCUGGAGGAAUACCGGUGGCGAAGGCGGCCCCCUGGACGAAGACUGACGCUCAGGUGCGAAAGCGUGGGGAGCAAACAGGAUUAGAUACCCGUGUAGUC
rnacentral:rRNA from 1 species